rnacentral:rRNA from 1 species
GACGAACGCUGGCGGCGUGCUUAACACAUGCAAGUCGAACGGUGAAGCGCUUGCCUUUUUGGUGGGUGUGGAUGAGUGGCGAACGGGUGAGUAACACGUGAGUAACCUGCCCUCUUCUUCUGGAUAACCUCAUGAAAGUGGGGCUAAUACGGGGUAUUCCGGGUCUGUCGCAUGGCGGGUUUGGGAAAGAUUGCGCCUUUGGGUGUUUUCGGUGGGGGAUGGGCUCGCGGCCUAUCAGCUUGUUGGUGGGGUGAUGGCCUACCAAGGCGGUGACGGGUAGCCGGCCUGAGAGGGUGGACGGCCACACUGGGACUGAGACACGGCCCAGACUCCUGCGGGAGGCAGCAGUGGGGAAGAUUGCACAAUGGGCGCAAGCCUGAUGCAGCGACGCCGCGUGAGGGAUGGAGGCCGUCGGGUUGUGAACCUCUUUCGCCAGUGAAGCAGGCCUGCUCCUGUGUGGGUGGGUUGACGGUAGCUGGAUAAGAAGCGCCGGCUAACUACGUG